GACUGGUGGUAGAAGGGGUAUGAAUAUAAAGUGGCAUUAAGGCCUUGCAGACAGACUUAACAAUAACAUGCUGAAGUUGCAAUAACAGUUUGACGAAGACCCACAUGUACUCCCAUAUUGACGGUUGUAGAACUCGUACCAACAGAUUUCACUUUGGGAUAUAAUGGCAAGUUGGGAUGAGAAACUUCUUACAGCUGCAGUGGAGGGGAAUAUAAAAGAGGUAGAAUUAUGUGUAAAGAACGGAGCUAACUUGGAAUUUAGAGAUGGUG